rnacentral:rRNA from 1 species
GACGAACGCUGGCGGCGUGCUUAACACAUGCAAGUCGAACGAAGAGCGAUGGAAGCUUGCCUCUAUCAAUCUUAGUGGCGAACGGGUGAGUAACGCGUAAUCAACCUGCCCUUCAGAGGGGGACAACAGUUGGAAACGACUGCUAAUACCGCAUACGAUCUAACCUCGGCAUCGAGGAUAGAUGAAAGGUGGCCUCUAUUUAUAAGCUAUCACUGAAGGAGGGGAUUGCGUCUGAUUAGCUAGUUGGAGGGGUAACGGCCCACCAAGGCGAUGAUCAGUAGCCGGUCUGAGAGGAUGAACGGCCACAUUGGGACUGAGACACGGCCCAGACUCCUACGGGAGGCAGCAGUGGGGAAUCUUCCGCAAUGGACGAAAGUCUGACGGAGCAACGCCGCGUGAGUGAUGACGGCCUUCGGGUUGUAAAGCUCUGUUAAUCGGGACGAAAGGCCUUCUUGCGAAUAGUUAGAAGGAUUGACGGUACCGGAAUAGAAAGCCACGGCUAACUACGUGCCAGCAGCCGCGGUAAUACGUAGGUGGCAAGCGUUGUCCGGAAUUAUUGGGCGUAAAGCGCGCGCAGGCGGAUUGGUCAGUCUGUCUUAAAAGUUCGGGGCUUAACCCCGUGAUGGGAUGGAAACUGCCAAUCUAGAGUAUCGGAGAGGAAAGUGGAAUUCCUAGUGUAGCGGUGAAAUGCGUAGAUAUUAGGAAGAACACCAGUGGCGAAGGCGACUUUCUGGACGAAAACUGACGCUGAGGCGCGAAAGCCAGGGGAGCGAACGGGAUUAGAUACCCCGGUAGUCCUGGCCGUA